rnacentral:rRNA from 1 species
AUGCACACAAGUCUUUUUCUCACCAUUGCAAAAGCCGUUGAGAAGUAUGAUGAUUGGUUCAAGCUUAGAAGGAAUGCAUGCAGAGAGAUAAGUACAAGCCCUCUGAUGAAGUGCAUUGUGGCUGUUCGAUUUUUGGCAUAUGGCUGGGCCGAUGCAAUUGAUGACUAUGGCUGCAUUGGUGAAGACACAAUCUUGGAGGCCGUUCGAAGGUUCACUAAAGCAGCGAUCGAUGUUGUUGGACCAGAGUACUUGAGGGCACCCAAAGAGGAGGGAACCGAGAGGCUAAUGGCAAAGAGUGACGCAAAAGGAUGGCCAGGGAUGCUUGCAUCACUUGACUGUGUGCACUGGACAUGGCAGAAUUGUUCUGCAGGGUGA